GUCCCGUAUGGGUCAGUUGGUAGAGCAUGGCACUUGGAAUGCCAGGGUUGUGGGUUCAAUUCCCAUUGGGGACC